CACGCGCGUGACGUCAGCGCGACGCUGGCGAGCGCCCGCCCGUCAGACUGUAGCUGCGCGGCGGCGGCGGCGGCGGCGGCUAAUGGAACAAGUUUAAUUUACAUCAAGUGAAAUGCACAGAUUUUAAGGGUACAGUCCAUGAGUUACACCCAUUACCCCAACGAGAAUGUAGCAACGAGAGUGUGUCCAUCACUCCAGGAAGUUCCAGGAACUUCCCAGUCAAUAACCACCGCCUACCCCCAAACAAUUCUAAUCUGAUUUCUAUCAUUUUACCGUAACUUUCCCCUAUUCUUUCACUUCACAUAACUUCAUACAUCUUUUUGAGCUGGGCUUUUCUCUCGCUUACAAUGUUUUGAAAUUCUUCCCGUGCUGUUGGGGUGUUAGUAAUUUCUUUUCAUUGCUGAGUAGUAUUCCCUUGUAUGGAAGCACCACAAUUUUUGACCUAUAUACCUGUUUACAGACAUUUACGUUGUUUCCGGUUUUUUAUAACUGUGAAUAAAGCUGCUAUACCGUUAGUGUACAA